GCACUGGUGGUUCAGUGGUAGAGUUCUUGACUUACAUGCAGGAGACUUGGGUUCAAUUCCCACCCAAUGCA
rnacentral:tRNA from 1 species